GUGGACGUGCCGGAGUGGUU
rnacentral:siRNA from 1 species